rnacentral:rRNA from 1 species
AUUGAACGCUGGCGGCAUGCCUUACACAUGCAAGUCGAACGGUAACAGGUUAAGCUGACGAGUGGCGAACGGGUGAGUAAUGUAUCGGAACGUGCCCAGUCGUGGGGGAUAACUGCUCGAAAGAGCAGCUAAUACCGCAUACGACCUGAGGGUGAAAGCGGGGGAUCGCAAGACCUCGCGCGAUUGGAGCGGCCGAUAUCAGAUUAGGUAGUUGGUGAGGUAAAGGCUCACCAAGCCGACGAUCUGUAGCUGGUCUGAGAGGACGACCAGCCACACGGGGAAGGAGAGACGUCGAGGAGGGCAAGGGGAGGCCGGCGGGGGCGAGAGGGGACAACAGGCGCAAGGCUGAUAAAGCAAUCACGCGGGGGAGAAGAAGGCCGUGGGGUUGUAAAGACCUUCUGUGGGGAAAGAAAAGAAGCAGGCGAAGCACCCGCCGGUCGAACGGUACGAAAAUAGUGAGAAACGGCUAAGGUCAGG